UGACUAACCCUCCCCCCUUCUGGGAUGGGGGCACCCACACCAGCACACAAGAUCUUUAUGGAUUCCCCCGGGCCAUUAUUUGUACUGUGAGCUGCACUGUGCGCCCGACCGUGAAAGUUGCGUGCAAAAGUGACAUUCUUAGGCAGUGACCGCCUUAGACGCCUAUUGAAGCUCUCCACUUUCUGUGUAUUGGUAUUAAGAAUGGAUUUGUCUAGCACUGACGGGGCAAGCCGCCUAUUGACACAGGCCUGGAGAAUCCUUGCAUUGGCCCUGGAGUAUGGAAUUUUGAAGUUUCCAUCAAGUGAAGACUCGGCUGGAGGUGGAGUGUUGGUGGCCAUAAAAAUUUUGCGCAGAGAUGAACUGCCAAUGGGGGUUUGACUUAGACCUACUUGUAGGCCAUAGUUUAUUGUUGCUGCUUUCCUUCCCCUGGAAUUGGACUGCACUUCCACAUAGAGCUUGUGCAUUUCUGAAGUGUAAGGGCACCUGCUGCAUUUCAGCCGUAGUCGAGUACCCAGGCCACGCCUCUCCUCAGAGUCCAUGUCCCAGGUCAGGUUGCCGUCACAUCCAGGGUUGGUCCUCCCAUGUUCUUUGAAGGCUGUAUUGAACAGCCCACUUGUCUUUUGAAGAUGGAGCAGUCUGUGGGAGUCUGAAUCACACCUACCGAAACCAGUUUUGUAUCUGAUCACUUCCUAUCCAGGGGUCUUGGCCGCAGCAACCGGUGGCACCCAGGUCGCAGCAUCAUUUCCUGUUCCUCACUCACUGAGGGUGGAUGUCUCACCAGUUCCAGGGUUUCCCGGUCUACUCUUGUGAAUGG